CUCGCUUAUUCGCCGCGCAUCGAUUUAGUGGUCGCCAACUAGGGGCGGUAAAUAAGUUCAAGGUGUACGCGCAUUCCUGGACGAGAAUAACCGAAGCAUUGGCCGCGUCUCUUCUGCGAUGCCAACUUGUCUGAAUGGCGCAUCCGAAAUAAGAAGGGAUUGUAAGAUUUGAUUUAACGGACACGUGCACGCGAAUAUGGCGUUAUUUAGUACCGGUAGCGUCGAAUUACGCGCGACGAAGGGCAGGAGAAAGGACAGUAUUUAAAGUUCAACAUUACAGGCACCAUUUUUCGCGAGACCACCGAGGAAGAGAAGACCUCGUACACCUGUCUUUCUCCCCGGUCCAUUCAUUUUUUAUCCAAGGAGGGGCGAGACGCUUCCCAGUUUCACCUGUUUGCCUCUUGACAACUCAAGCAAUAGUAGCCACGGGGCAGGAACGAAGACCUAAUUUUGCCCCGUGGUCGUUUAUCCGGUUCUGCCUGAGGUGCCUUCCAUCUUUUCAUCCAAAUGGGACUCGGUCGGGGUGCACACGUUGACUUUCCACCACCACAUGGAAGAAGCGCAACGAACUACGCGGGAUGAUCCUUGAGAAGAUCCCACGCGGACCUCUCUGUCGGCGUCACUCAUGGAGGAUAUCCCCGUCGUGAUGCAACGGAAGGCUCCUCGGCUCCCAGCACACUUCACACCUGAUCCUAAUCGCGGUGAAAUGACCCGGUG